AACGUAGGGGGCGAGCGUUGCCCGGAUUCACUGGGCGUAAAGCGGGUGUAGGCGGUCCAUUAAGUCGGGUGUGAAAUCUCCAAGCUCAACUUGGAAACUGCACCCGAUACUGGUGGACUUGAGGACGGUAGAGGUCGGUGGAAUGACCUGUGUACCGGUGAAAUGGACAGAUAUAGGUCGGAACACCAGUGGCGAAGGCGGCCGACUGGGCCGAUCCUGACGCUGAGACCCGAAAGCCAGGGUAGCGAACCGG
rnacentral:rRNA from 1 species